GUCUACAGCCAUACCACCUUGAAUGUGCCUGAUCUUGUCUGAUCUCAGAAGCUAAGCAGGGUCGGGCCUGGUUAGUAUAGUACUUGGAUCGGAGACUGCCUGGGAAUACCGUAUGCCGUAGGCU
ensembl:rRNA 5S_rRNA 5S ribosomal RNA